AUUGAACGCUGGCGGCAGGCCUAACACAUGCAAGUCGAACGAGUGGCGGACGGGUGAGUAAUGUCUGGGAAACUGCCUGAUGGAGGGGGAUCACUACUGGAAACGGUAGCUAAUACCGCAUACCAUCGGAUGUGCCCAGAUGGGAUUAGCUAGUAGGUGGGGUAAAGGCUCACCUAGGCGACGAUCCCUAGCUGGUCUGAGAGGAUUACCGGCCAAACUGGAAAGGAGACACGGUCCAGACACCUACGUGAGGAAGCAGUGGGGAAUAUUGCACAAUGGGCGCAAGCCUGAUGCAGCCAUGGCGCGUGUAUGAAGAAGGCCUUCCGGUUGUAAAGUACUUUCAGCGGGGAGGCGUUACCCGCAGAAGAAGCACCGGCUAACUCAGUGCCAUCAGCCGCGGUAAUUC
rnacentral:rRNA from 1 species